AGCUUUGUGCAGUGGCAGUAUCAUAGCCAAUAAGAUUUAUCUGAGGCAUUAUUAUUGCUAAUUGAAAACAUAUAUUCCCAUAUGCCUCUAAUAUUCUCUGAAAAAAAGGAAGAAUAUCAAGAACAAGGUCCAACAAAGGA